rnacentral:tRNA from 2 species
GGGGUCGUGGCCAAGUCCGGCAUGGCGACUGACUCCAGAUCAGUCGAUCGGGAGUUCAAAUCUCUCCGACCCCA